rnacentral:lncRNA from 1 species
AUAAGAUAAUUCAAACUUAAUUAUCUACUAAUAACCUACAUGAAUAAGAUUCAUGAGACUCUAAUUGUUGAGUGUCUAAGAUUAUGAAUCAUAUGAAUUAAGGAUACAAGUCUCUAAUUAAUUUCCUUGAUAGUUUAUCUUGGGCGCCACCUUGAUUUGUUCAAGUUGGGCAUAUUCUAUAAUUAGAGAGCAUUUUGAUCUUAUAUGGGGCAUCUUUUGGGUGUGUUUUGGGGUAUGAAAUAAUGGGUGCAAGGGCUCCAAGAGUUGGCAUCUAAUAGGAUUCCUAAUAUAAGUUAAAUAACUUAAGUUAUUAGGAAACUUAAUGCAAGUAGGACUUGUAUUAUGAGAUUGAAUAGGAUUCAAUCCUCAUGCCUAUUUAAAGGGACCUCUCCUAAGGUCCCUAGAGUAUAAAAACCAGCAGCCCUCCAUGCCAAGAAGGUCGCCCCAUGCCCUCCCUUUCUCUCUCUUCUCCUUCUCCCUUGGUGUCCCACACGCCCCACCAUUGUUGGGCAUCCCAAGUUCUUCACGCCUAAGGCUGUUGGGUGUCCCAUUCUUGCUGGUUUCUACCUACUGGUAGCAACAUAAAUCAAGGG